rnacentral:rRNA from 1 species
AUGGUGAUCAGCGCAUUCAUCACCGACACAUUUGACUCCAGCCCAAUUCUCAUGAGUAGCUCAUGGACACGUCUCCCCUCAUCAAGAUACCCAAGCUCACCGCAGGCGUGCAAUGCUGCCAGCACAGAUACGUCCGUCACAUCAACACCCUCCCCCACCAUCCUCUUGAACAGCAUGAGAGCCUCAGUGGCAUCCCCAUUCUCAGCAUACCCCUUGAUCAUGGCAUUCCAAGAAACAGAGUUCUUGUCCGGCAUCCGAUCGAAGACAGACCUGGCAACCUCAACCGCCCCGCACUUGCAGUACACAUCAAGGAUCGCAGUGGAGACAUUGACGAGCUCGUCGAAGCUAGCACGGACCGCAAACCCGUGCACCUCACGGCAGGCCCCGAGCGCCUGGGCGUCGGCGCAAGCGGGCAGCACAGACACCAGCGUGACGGAGUCGGGCCGCUCCCCGUCCUCCUCCUGCAUCCGGACGAACAUCUCCAUGGCGGCCCCGGCGAGCCCGUUCCGCGCGUACCCGGCCACGAGCGCGUUCCAGGCGACGCGGUCGCGCACGGGCAUACGGUCGAACACCCUGCGCGCGUCGCCCGGCCGGCGGCACUUGGCGUACAUGUUGGCCAGCGCCGUGGCGGCGAGGGACUCCGCGGAGAGCCCCCGCGCGGCGAGCUGCGCGUGGACGGCGCGGCCGGUCGCGAGGUCGGCGCGCGCCGCGCAGAGCUUGAGGAGGGAGGUGAAGGUGCGGAGGACGGGGCUGGCGGACGCGGAGGAGGACAUGGCGGCGAAGGCUGCGAGCGCGCCCGGCAGGUCGGAGCGCGCGGCCGCUGACCUUAGGCGCGCGUGGUGGUCGGCGGCGGCAUGCCCGCCGGCGGGAGGAGUCGGCGACGAGGCCGAGCACAGCAUGUCCUCUUGUAUUUGUUUUUUUCUCAGAGUUAUCCCGUCACAACCUCAGUCACAGGGCAGCUAA